AGAUAAAUUUAUAAAAUAGAUGUAAAGUUAAAAUAUAGUAAUAUAAUUUAUUUAUAGCUAAUACAUACUAAAAAAUCAAAAAUUG
rnacentral:rRNA from 1 species